rnacentral:rRNA from 1 species
GAUGAACGCUGGCGGCGUGCCUAAUACAUGCAAGUCGAGCGAACAGAUAAGGAGCUUGCUCCUUUGACGUUAGCGGCGGACGGGUGAGUAACACGUUGGUAACCUACCUAUAAGACUGUGAUAACUUCGGGAAACCGGAGCUAAUACCGGAUAACAUUUGGAACCGCAUGGUUCUAAAGUGAAAGAUGGUUUUGCUAUCACUUAUAGAUGGACCCGCGCCGUAUUAGCUAGUUGGUAAGGUAACGGCUUACCAAGGCAACGAUACGUAGCCGAACUGAGAGGGUGAUCGGCCACACUGGAACUGAGACACGGUCCAGACUCCUACGGGAGGCAGCAGUAGGGAAUCUUCCGCAAUGGGCGAAAGCCUGACGGAGCAACGCCGCGUGAGUGAUGAAGGGUUUCGGCUCGUAAAACUCUGUUAUUAGGGAAGAACAAAUGUGUAAGUAACUGUGCACGUCUUGACGGUACCUAAUCAGAAAGCCACGGCUAACUACGUG